GGGGUCGUCGAUUAGCCUGGAAAAUUGCUCGCUUGGCAUGCGAGAGAACGGGGGUUCAAGCUGUGGAAAAUCUCUUUCCUAGGGAAUAAAUCCCCCCGACUCCA
rnacentral:tRNA from 1 species